rnacentral:rRNA from 1 species
AGUGAACGCUGGCGGUGGGCCUAACACAUGCAAGUCGAACGGAAGCACAGUAAGAGCGUGCGCUUACGGGUGGCGAGUGGCGGAAGGGUGAGGAAUACAUCGGAAUCUACUUUUUCGUGGGGGAUAACGUAGGGAAACUUAUGCUAAUACCGCAUACGACCUACGGGUGAAAGCAGUGGAUCUUCGGACCUUGCGCGUUUGAAUGAGACGAUGUCGGAUUAGCUAGUUGGCGGGGUAAAGGCCCACCAAGGCGACGAUCCGUAGCUGGUCUGAGAGGAUGAUCAGCCACACUGGAACUUAGACACGGUCCAGACUCCUACGGGAGGCAGCAGUGGGGAAUAUUGGACAAUGGGCGCAAGCCUGAUCCAGCCAUACCGCGUGGGUGAAGAAGGCCUUCGGGUUGUAAAGCCCUUUUGUUGGGAAAGAAAAGCAGCAGGUUAAUACCCCGCUGUUCUGACGGUACCCAAAGAAUAAGCACCGGCUAACUUCGUG